rnacentral:rRNA from 1 species
UACGUAGGGUGCAAGCGUUAAUCGGAAUUACUGGGCGUAAAGCGUGCGCAGGCGGUUUUGUAAGUCUGUCGUGAAAGCCCCCGGGCUCAACCUGGGAAUUGCGAUGGAGACUGCAGGGCUUGAAUCUGGCAGAGGGGGGGGUAGAAUUCCACGUGUAGCAGUGAAAUGCGUAGAGAUGUGGAGGAACACCGAUGGCGAAGGCAGCCCCCUGGGUCAAGAUUGACGCUCAUGCACGAAAGCGUGGGGAGCAAACAGG